GACGAACGCUGGCGGCGUGCCUAAUACAUGCAAGUAGGACGCAGUUGCGAACGGGUGCGUAACGCGUAGGUAACUGCCUAUUAGAGGGGGAUAACUAUUGGAAACGAUAGCUAAUACCGCAUACUAGUAGAUGGACCUGCGUUGUAUUAGCUAGUAGGUAGGGUAAUGGCCUUCCUAGGCGACGCUACAUAGCCUCCCUGAGAGGGUGAUCGGCCCACUCGGGACUGAGACACGGCCCAGACUCCUACGGGAGGCAGCAGUAGGGAAUCUUCGGCAAUGGGGUGAACCCUGACCGAGCAACGCAGCGUGAGUGAAGAAGGUUUUCGGAUCGUAAAGCUCUGUUGUUAAGGAAGCGGUACUUAACCAGAAAGGGACGGCUAACUACGUGCCAGCAGCCGCGGUAAUUC
rnacentral:rRNA from 1 species